rnacentral:rRNA from 1 species
CCCCGUUCGGGGAAUUCCGAGACAGGUGCUGCAUGGCUGUCGUCAUCUCGUGCCGUGAGGUGUUGGGUUAAGUCCCGCAACGAGCGCCAACCCUAUUGCCAGUUGCUACCAGGUAAUGCGUGGGCACUCUGGUGAGACUGCCCCGGUUAACGGGAGGAAGGUGGGGACGACGUCAAGUCAUCAUGGCCCUUACGCCUAGGGCUACACACGUACUACAAUGGCGCAUACAAAGGGCAGCGAUACCGCGAGGUGGAGCCAAUCCCAAAAAGUGCGUCCCAGUCCGGAUUGCAGUCUGCAACUCGACUGCAUGAAGUUGGAAUCGCUAGUAAUUCGAGAUCAGCAUGCUCGGGUGAAUGCGUUCCCGGGCCUU